rnacentral:rRNA from 1 species
CCUACGGGAGGCAGCAGUGAGGAAUAUUGGUCAAUGGGCUUACGCCUGAACCAGCCAAGUCGCGUGAGGGAAUACUGCCCUAUGGGUUGUAAACCUCUUUUGUCAGGGAGCAAUUGGCGCUCCGUGUAGCGUUAUCGAGAGUACCUGAAGAAAACGCAUCGGCUAACUCCGUGCCAGCAGCCGCGGUAAUACGGAGGAUGCGCGCGUUAUCCGGAUUUAUUGGGUUUAAAGUGUGCGUAGGCGGAAUGCCAAGUCAGCGGUAAAAUCGCGGGGCUCAACCUCGCUCCGCCGUUGAAACUGGCGAUCUUGAGUGGGCGAGAGGUAUGCGGAAUGCGUGGUGUAGCGGUGAAAUGCAUAGAUAUCACGCAGAACUCCGAUUGCGAAGGCAGCUUACUAA